GGGCCCUGGGGCCGGAACACAACGUGCUACAAAUGCCCACUACAAAGCGAUGCCACCCGGCAACGGGGAGCUAAUCGCAAAAAAGGUGGGCCCAGUUCGGAUUGGGGUCUGCAACCCGACCCCAUGAAGCCGGAAUCGCUAGUAAUCGCGGAUCAGCCAUGCCCGCGGUCGAAUACGUUCCCGGGCCUU
rnacentral:rRNA from 1 species